rnacentral:tRNA from 1 species
CGCGCUGCUGGGCGAGGCCGGGCCCGGCGAGCUGCUGCCGCGCCGGCUGCUGAUCCUCGGCGGCGAGGCGUCC